ensembl:snRNA U4 U4 spliceosomal RNA
AGCUUUGCGCAGUGGCAGUAUCGUAGCCAAUGAAGCUUACCCGAGGCGCGAUUAUUGCGAAUAGAGUAUGGUGGCCACAUGCAGCUGGUUCAUUUUGGAGAAGUCUCUGCUUAAAGAUACACUGAUGUAUUGCUGCCAAAAUGUUAUAUUAUGUAGAAUAUCUUCUUAAAG